rnacentral:ncRNA from 1 species
UUUAAAAGUUUUAUUUUAGCUUAAAAAAUUUAUUAUUAAUUUAUAUUAUAUGUAAAUUUUUGUAUGAAUUUAUAUUAAUUUUAAAAAUUAAUAUAUUAUAGAUAAUUUAUUUGCAAUAAUUAAUAUUAUUAAUUAAAGAAAUUUAGAAAUAGAAAUAUUAAUUUAAUAUUAACUUAAUUUGUGCCAGCAGUUGCGGUUAUACAAAUAAUAUGAAUAAAUUUUAUUAAUAUUAGUUAAAUUGAAAGUUUAUAAAAUAAAAAUAAAUUUAUUAAGUGAAAUUUUAAAUUUAUGAAUAUAUUUAUAAUUUAAUAGAUAUUAAAGCUAGAAAUUUUUAAUAAUAAACUAGGAUUAGAUACCCUAUUAUUUAAAAUGUAAUUAAAUUUAUUUGAGUAGUAUUAGUUAUAUUCUUGAAACUUAAAAAAUUUGGCGGUAUUUUAGUCUAUUCAGAGGAACUUGUUUUUUAAUCGAUAAUCCACGAUGUACCUUACUUAAAAUUGUUAAUCAAUUUAUAUAUCGUUGUUAUUAGAAUAUUUUAUAAGAAUAAUAAUUUUCUAUAAUUUUUAUUAAAAUUAAUAUCAAAUCAAGGUGUAGUUUAUUUUUAAGUAUAAAUGAGUUACAAUAAAAUAUAUUUAUGGAUUUAAAUAUGAAAAAUUUAAUGAAAUUGGAUUUGAUAGUAAAAUUAUAAAGAUAAAUAAUUUGAUUUUAGCUCUAAAAUAUGUACAUAUCGCCCGUCACUCUUGUUAUUAAAAUAAGAUAAGUCGUAACAUAGUAGAUGUACUGGAAAGUGUAUCUAGAA